ACUGAAGCAUUUAGGCAUUCAAAAGGAGCUACACAUGCUUUUAAUCUUUUCAGUAGCAAGUCGGUGCACGUUGACAGCGCCAGCCGGAUGGACCUGCUGGUGUUUGAUAAUUUGGUUCUUAGCAGAUAUGCUCUAUCUGAAGUCUAAAGAUCUAUUGGGAUGGUGGAACUGGAUGCAACCUUCUGAGCUAUGCUGAUCAUAACUCAAGAAACUAACAGGCCACAAUGCUGAGCAGCAAUUCUCGUGUCAGAAUGCUUCGAACUCAAAGGCCAUCCUCGUGGCAGUAAGCUUCAAGUAUGUGUGUGAAAGAAAUUAAAAAAAGGGAAAAAUCGAAACAAUAGAGAAAGAACUAAUGAUGACAACGAUACGGAAGGUAGCAAAUUGAUUCUAACAUUCAAAUGGAGGGGGUUUUAGUAUGAAGAAAGUAGUUAAAUAGAAUAUGAUGAGUUGGUGAGGCAUCAUACAUCCUUAAUGUAUAUGCAUUAAUUUUGCAUAAACAAUGCAUAUAUUUCAGUUACAAAAGAUGCCCGCUGCCAUGCAUUCAUUGUGUUGAAAUUCAUUAUAUACUAAAAUCAUUGAAUUUUUUUGCAUAUGAAUCUAAUGAUUUAUAUUAUGGACAUAAAAUUUAUAUUUUGUUAACCAAAAUCAAUGGUCAAAGUUUAUCUUAAACUGCGUAUGUGCCUGCUGGUAAACCGAGACGGGGGAGUAGUUAGUAAUAUACUUUUUGACAAAGCUGGAUGAUAGUAUCUGAUCACCCCUUGGAAAUCAAGUGUGGUUCAUGGGGUUUCUUCCUUUGAAUCAAUAUCUAAAGUUGUUGGUUACUUAGUAGGGAGUGUCGUGGUUAUUUAUCUCUCCUUCAAGUGUUGCUAAGUUUGUUUUUUCUUUGCAUAUUUCUGCUUUUUCCUGUUAUUCAUAGGACUGAAAACAAUGCGCCAGGGCAUCAUCUCUACAAGUAAUUGUCAUGCAUAAAUACCCUUGUGCUCAAACUAUAUGUUUCUCUUUGUUUUAAGGUACUUGAAAAUGGUUGUAUGUAGGUCACAUGGUGUAUUUAAUAUUUGAUUUCUCGAUUUACACGUUGA